UCGUGGGGCAGCAUGAAGUAGCAAUACUUUGAUGGCGACCGGCAAACGGGUGCGGAACACGUACACAACCUUCCGAUAAGUGGGGAAUAGCCCAGAGAAAUUUGGAUUAAUACCCCGUAACAUUGCGAUGUGGCAUCACAUUGCAAUUAUAGCUUCGGCGCUUAUUGAUGGGUGUGCGUAUGAUUAGAUAGUUGGUGGGGUAACGGCCCACCAAGUCUACGAUCAUUAGCUGAUGUGAGAGCAUGAUCAGCCACACGGGCACUGAGACACGGGCCCGACUCCUACGGGAGGCAGCAGUAAGGAAUAUUGGUCAAUGGACGAAAGUCUGAACCAGCUAUGCCGCGUGAAGGAUUAAGGUCCUCUGGAUUGUAAACUUCUUUUAUAUGGGACGAAAAAAGGUCUUUCUAGAUCACUUGACGGUACCAUAUGAAUAAGCACCGGCUAACUCCGUGCCAGCAGCCGCGGUAAUACGGAGGGUGCAAGCGUUAUCCGGAUUCACUGGGUUUAAAGGGUGCGUAGGCGGGCAGGUAAGUCAGUGGUGAAAUCCUGGAGCUCAACUCCAGAACUGCCAUUGAUACUAUCUGUCUUGAAUAUUGUGGAGGUAAGCGGAAUACGUCAUGUAGCGGUGAAAUGCUUAGAUAUGACAUAGAACACCUAUUGCGAAUGCAGCUUACUACGCAUAUAUUGACG
rnacentral:rRNA from 1 species